AGAGUUUGAUCAUGGCUCAGAUUGAACGCUGGCGGCAGGCCUAACACAUGCAAGUCGAACGGUAACAGGAAGAAGCUUGCUUCUUUGCUGACGAGUGGCGGACGGGUGAGUAAUGUCUGGGAAACUGCCUGAUGGAGGGGGAUAACUACUGGAAACGGUAGCUAAUACCGCAUAACGUCGCAAGACCAAAGAGGGGGACCUUCGGGCCUCUUGCCAUCGGAUGUGCCCAGAUGGGAUUAGCUUGUUGGUGGGGUAACGGCUCACCAAGGCGACGAUCCCUAGCUGGUCUGAGAGGAUGACCAGCCACACUGGAACUGAGACACGGUCCAGACUCCUACGGGAGGCAGCAGUGGGGAAUAUUGCACAAUGGGCGCAAGCCUGAUGCAGCCAUGCCGCGUGUAUGAAGAAGGCCUUCGGGUUGUAAAGUACUUUCAGCGGGGAGGAAGGGAGUAAAGUUAAUACCUUUGCUCAUUGACGUUACCCACAGAAGAAGCACCGGCUAACUCCGUGCCAGCAGCCGCGGUAAUACGGAGGGUGCAAGCGUUAAUCGGAAUUACUGGGCGUAAAGCGCACGCAGGCGGUUUGUUAAGUCAGAUGUGAAAUCCCCGGGCUCAACCUGGGAACUGCAUCUGAUACUGGCAAGCUUGAGUCUCGUAGAGGGGGGUAGAAUUCCAGGUGUAGCGGUGAAAUGCGUAGAGAUCUGGAGGAAUACCGGUGGCGAAGGCGGCCCCCUGGACGAAGACUGACGCUCAGGUGCGAAAGCGUGGGGAGCAAACAGGAUUAGAUACCCUGGUAGUCCACGCCGUAAACGAUGUCGACUUGGAGGUUGUGCCCUUGAGGCGUGGCUUCCGGAGCUAACGCGUUAAGUCGACCGCCUGGGGAGUACGGCCGCAAGGUUAAAACUCAAAUGAAUUGACGGGGGCCCGCACAAGCGGUGGAGCAUGUGGUUUAAUUCGAUGCAACGCGAAGAACCUUACCUGGUCUUGACAUCCACGGAAGUUUUCAGAGAUGAGAAUGUGCCUUCGGGAACCGUGAGACAGGUGCUGCAUGGCUGUCGUCAGCUCGUGUUGUGAAAUGUUGGGUUAAGUCCCGCAACGAGCGCAACCCUUAUCCUUUGUUGCCAGCGGUCCGGCCGGGAACUCAAAGGAGACUGCCAGUGAUAAACUGGAGGAAGGUGGGGAUGACGUCAAGUCAUCAUGGCCCUUACGACCAGGGCUACACACGUGCUACAAUGGCGCAUACAAAGAGAAGCGACCUCGCGAGAGCAAGCGGACCUCAUAAAGUGCGUCGUAGUCCGGAUUGGAGUCUGCAACUCGACUCCAUGAAGUCGGAAUCGCUAGUAAUCGUGGAUCAGAAUGCCACGGUGAAUACGUUCCCGGGCCUUGUACACACCGCCCGUCACACCAUGGGAGUGGGUUGCAAAAGAAGUAGGUAGCUUAACCUUCGGGAGGGCGCUUACCACUUUGUGAUUCAUGACUGGGGUGAAGUCGUAACAAGGUAACCGUAGGGGAACCUGCGGUUGGAUCACCU
rnacentral:rRNA from 2 species